ensembl:lncRNA
AUGAGAGAUUUCCUGCAGUCUGACUUCAACAAUCAGUUUGAACAAAUGAAUUUGGAGACUCGUUUGAACCUUGCAAUUGCUUCUCAAAUUACAGCCCUGGACUAUAUUAAGGCAAAUCGGCAGCGGAGUCGAAGCAUGGCUUCCCUGAAAGAGAUAUUUUCAAAGGUGAAUUGUCUCCUUACACCAGGUACUGCAUGCUGUGCACCAGUAAUCCAUGAAUCAGACCUCCUUACUGGAUGUAGUGAUGUUCAGACAACUCUGCGGACCAUGAAAUACAUGCAGUUGGCCAACUUGACAGGCAUUCCAGCCCUAGUGGUACCAGUUGGAUAUACAAUUUCAGGGCUUCCCAUCAGUUUACAUAUGAUGACUAAGUGGUGGAAUGAAGCGUUGCUGUUCCAAAUAGGCCUGAAACUGGAGCAAUUUCAUGGUACACUAGCAAAACCAAUAAUUUACUAUGAUAUUCUGAGAUAAUAUGGCUAGCUUCAAAAUUCCAAUACAGUUGUUUGUUUAACGUAUAAAUGGCUUAAGGGAUGAGUUAGAAAGGUCUUCAGGACAGAUUCACAAGCUCCCAUUAAAAAAUGCAAACAAAAUUAAAUUGGAAUGAAACGAUUAACUUACUAAAGGAUAUACAGUGCUGUAGGUGUCUGCAGUGUUUAGAGUUUAUAUUGAUACGAAUUGUUUAUAAACAUCCCGAUAAUGCAGAUUUUACGAUUGAGCAGAUUCUAUUCAGAUACAAUUUGUUUGAAUGCGUUUUAAAUACUGUAUGUGACAUUUGCAUUCAGUAUGUAUAUAUGGUAUUCUUGAUGUUUCUUGCAUGGAAAAUUUCUUAGAAAGGUGAUGGGCAUUUACAGAUUUUUUUUAAACCUAACUCUGACAAAACUCUAACAAUAUAUACCCUCUAGUGAUAUUGCACAAUUGUAUUUCUUUAUAGUUCAGCAGAAUGUUAAUUUCUUGUGUCAAAAUGAAAGCAAAUCAUUUCACCAGUUCCUACAGGCUUGAGCAUCCAUGUUCCUUUUCAAAGUGACAGAAAGCAAUUGAUUCAGAAAAUAUGAUGGCAUUGGCAUCACCAUCAUUAAUACAAUAUUUCAUGCAAUGAAUUUGUUCACUUAUCCGAGUUUGUGAUAAAAUUAAUACAAUAUUCAGAAAACUCUGGAAUGUUGAUUGGUGUGGCAGUUUUCCAAAGAUUAAUAUUCGAAACUUGAAGUUUGGGCAUGCCUCAAAAUAGUAUUUAAGAAGCCAUGGAAAUAAUCAGAGAUGGUAUUCAGCAGGUUCUGACCAGUUCUGGAGAACUGGUAGCGGAAAUUUUGAGUAGUUCAGAGAACCGGCAAAUACCACCUUUGACUGGCCCCGCCCCCAUCUAUUCUCUGCCUCCCGAGUCCCAGCUGAUCAGUUGGGUUUUCUUUUGUUGCCCUGCACAGGAGAAUGGAGGUGGAAUGCAGGUUAGUGGGGUGGGGACGGAAUGGGAUUUUGCAGUAACCUUUCCCCAGGAGUGGGGAGGGAAUGGAGAUUUUACAGUAUCCUUCCCCUACCAUGCCCACCAAGCCACGCCCACAGAACAGGUAGUAAAAAAAAUUGAAUCCCACUACUGGAAAUAACAUACACAUUAUCAUUCUGAACCAAGCUAUCCUUAGGACAAACAAUACUGAAGACAUGAGAAAUUUUCCAGAAAUAAUCUUAGGACAGUUGCAAACACUGUCAUAAUAAUCACCAGAUUAGACUGACUUGAAGUUAUCGGUGGAUAAAACCCUGGAUUUGGAUCUGGAACCACAUUCUCAGUAGAUAUUUCACUGAAUAAUAGAAAGUAGUGUUUUUUCAGCCUUACCUUACGCAACAGGCUGUAUUCAAUGAAUGGGAGGAGAGUACACAAAUUGUGCAGGUUUUCUUGAGUUUAGGAGUGGUGGUCUCAAGUUAAUGUUAAAUUGAACAAUAUGAGGGAAUAAGCCUCUGUAAGCAAGUAAUUAUUCUUUAUCCAUUCCUUUGUAAAUGUUUACAAAAUUUGUGACUAUGAGAUUGAAAGUUACAAUUCUGUCCUCCUUGAUAAUGGUAUAUUGUUAAAAUGAUAAAGAGUAAGACUGGUUUCCUAGAAAAGCCUUUCUGUUCUUCAACCUAACUAAAAUAUUCUGGUAUAAGGUAAAUAUAAAGCCUUUAGUAUACAGGUAGUCCUUGACUCACAACAGUUCAUUUACUAACUGUUCAAAGUUACAACAGCACUGAGAAAAGUGACUUAUGAUUAUUUUUCACACUUAUGACCAUUGCAGUAUCCCCAUAAUCACAUGAUCAAAAUUCAGAAGCUUGGCAACUGAUUCAUAUUUGUGACGGUUGCAGUGUCUCGGAAUCAUGUGAUCACCUUUUGUGAUCCUACAAGCAAACCCAAUGGGGAAGUCAGAUUCACUUAAUAACCAUGUUACUAACUUAACAACUGCAGAUUCACUUAACAACUGUGGCAAGGAAAGUAGUAAAAUGAGGCAACAUUCACUUAACAAAUGUUUCACUUAGCAACAAAAAUUUUGGGCUCAGAUGUGGUCAUAAGUCGAGCACUACCUGUAUUAGAAAGCUUAAGAGUUUUUUUUAUUAUUGUCAAAUUUUGUAAAAGUACUGGGAGAAGGGCAUCCAAAAAGGAUUCUCAAUCUCUCACAUGGUUUUUCCUGUUCUUUUAUGUAUUUCUAGUGGCAUUUCUGUAGGUUUUUUGCUUCUGCAUAUGCCUAUUUUGUACUAAACGUUUUGCUACAAUGUAGUAUGAUCAAGAAACACAAGCAACAGAGCAUCUAUAAAUAGGAAGUAAAGGCAAUCAUGCGUGUGAUUAUUGUCACACUUGUCAUUCCAUUAAAGAAAAUAACAUUAAGAUUUUGUAUACAUAAACUACUACAGAGGACUUAAUCCUCAUUCCCAAUUUGCCUAUAUUCUAUCUUGGAAAAAAAUGAUAAGGUGCUGAACAUACUUCUGUUAGAAAACACUAGUUUAGUUCUCAUGUUGCUCUGCAAUUCUAUAGGGCUCAUAUGUGCUGUUGUGCACUGUCAUCUACCCAAAGUUUAAUCAUCUUGACCAGAGACAUGUAAAAAAAUUAAUUAAAGCAAGGGAGAGGCAGCUAUUAUGUGGCAGAAGGUUUAGCUGGCAUUCCAAGGCAAGUUACCUGAUCCAGGCUGUAAAACCCGAGAGGCCGAGGUAAGAGUGCUAUCCAAUUUUGUGUUGCCAUCUAGUAGCCAUCUACAUGUUUGCUGUUCACAUUUGGUAACUCUUAAUUCACAGAACUGAGUGUUUUCACAAAAUAGCUGUUAUGGUCAGUCACAAAACGUUCAGAUCACAGAACGAGUUCUUGCUUUUAUCCCUAUUUCUGGGCCUAUAGAUAUACCUUCAAAAAGAGGGACUAAGUUUUCUUUCCAAGAUGCCUUUUAAGAGCGCUGAACAUUCUUAUAAGUUACUCAAGGCUAGUAGUUUGCAGAGGCUAGGCUCAUUUACCAGUAAUUUUUUAAUUAAAAAUACUGCCAAAGAAGAUGGCCAUGGGCCCCACUUGGAUUACUCUGUUACAGAACAAAGUAUUAAAAACUUGUGUUUAUCUGUGAUUAUAAUAAAUAAAGGAAAAUACCAGUGUUUUAAAAUUCCAAUUCUAUAUAAAAUGCAAAAUGAAGGAUGCAGUACAACAUUGAAAUUGUGAGUACUCCAACAUUGGAGGAUUUAAGAGAUUAGACAACCAUUUAUCUCAAAUAGUAUAGGGUCUCCUGUUUGAACAGGGGGUUGGGCUAGAAGACCUCCAAGAUCCUUUCCAACUUUGUUAUUCUGUUAAAUACCAAUAUAAAAGGUGUGCUAAAUUCUUUUAUCUUCCUUGCUUGCCUACUAAGGAAUCCCAUGCAAAAUAGACAUAACAUGCAAUUUGAGAAUACAGGUAAUCCUCGAGUUAUGACAGUGACCAUUUGAAGUUACACCAUAACACCCCCACCCCCAUCCUGCUCUCUCAGACCUUCCAAAAAUCUGUCUCCCCUCUCUGCCAUGGUUUCUUUGCCUUUGAGAGGGAGAGAGAGAGAGAGUAGGACGAUUUUGUUCCCAGUGCCCGAUUGCCUUGCAAAUGCUUUUUGUGCUGAGUGGAAUGUUCUGGGGUCCAUGAUCUUGUGCAACUUCAGACACCCACCUGCUUUUGCAGAGAAUGGGUAUACCUGAAGUCAUGUGAGAUCACAGCCCCCAGAACAUUUCUCUCUCAGCGUGAAAAGCAUUUGGAAGGUGAUCGGACACUGGGAGAGAAAUUGCAUUGCUUCCAGCAUCUGGUAGGCUUGCAAAUGCUUUUCACGCUGGGAAUGAAAUGUUCUGGGGGAGUGUGAUCACAUGUGACAUCAGGCACCCAUCCGCUUUUGCAGAGAAUGGGUGCCCGAAGUUGCAUGUGAUCAACCCCCAAGAACAUUUCACUCUUGGCAAAAAGCAUUUGCAAGCCAACUGGACGCUCGGGUGGAAAUCAUCCUGCCCUCCUCUCCCUCAACGGCAAAGAAACUGCAGCAGAGGAGACAGAUCUUUGCAAGGUGUGCGAGUCCGGCAUGGCAAGAUGGGACAGGAGAAGCUCCCCCACAGCCUUCCUUACCCUGAGAUACCUCUUGCCAGUGACCACACAUUUGAUUAGUGAAUGUGUGGGUAAAAGCAGAGAACGAUCGCAUUCAAGUUACGUGAUUCACUUGUUGAAUUACAAAUGUAAUUGACAGGCUCCAUUACAUAACUCGAGCUUUACCUGUAUAACUCAAUGGGCAAAACAUGAUUUUGGCUAUUGCACCAGGUGAUGUUGAAUAAUAUUUUAUUUUAUUGCUCUAUGUGCUUGAAGGUGUUAUUAAAAUUAUUCUUUAAAUGUGAGGGGGCUGGAGUUUUCUGUCAAGUAAAGAAGUUUAAAACGAACUGAACGGCACCAUUACCAUUUCAGUGCUUUAAACGUAAAAAAAUUGGCAAGGUAUUUUUUUUAUAGCAUGAUCUUUUAAAAAGUCAGUGACCAUAAAAAGGGAUCCAGGAAGUUGCCCAUGUCUUGUCCACAACUGUAAGCAAUGGCCACCUUUGGCUAGAUGUAUAGCAAAUGGGCAAGCCCUAUACAUAAAGCCAACAGUGUUAUGGUGGCUAACCUGCUUGCACAAUAGAUAAAGGGACCACACAUACAAUGCUCUUGCUUCACAUAGAUAUAUGUUGAUAUACAGUAUAUACACAAUGAUGUCUUUAUAUAAAAUAACUUUGUUUAUAAAGUGACAUUUAACUGCCACUUGGCCCUUCCCUACCCCACAAAAAACAGUAGUAUACAAAAUAUAAAAUAUUUUUUUUAAAUAUUUAUAAACAGUUGCAAGGAAAAAAAAUAUAACUGUAUGAAAAUA